GGGGAAUGGAGGGGGGGAAGAGGAAUCCUCGCAAAAGACAGGCAGCACUGUCCCCAGGCUGCACGGGAGCUGUCCACUGCAGGGGCAGCGCUGUCCCCAGGCUGCACAGGCGCUGUCCACUGCAGGGGCAGCACUGUCCCCAGGCUGCGCAGGAGCUGUCCACUGCAGGGGUAGCGCUGUCCCCAGGCUGCAUGGGCGCUGUCCACUGCAGGGGGCAGCGCUGUCCCCAGGCUGCAUGGGAGCUGUCCACUGCAGGAGCAGUGCAGUUCAGCAGAGACGGCGGAGCGUGGGCAUCAGGCACACUACAGCCUGCCUGCUCUUAAGAACACUGGAAAGCACUUCAGCACUACGCUUGGGGCCACUUAAAAUAGCGAAAUCACCAACAAAAAUGUGAAAAGCGUGGCACUAAACAGACCAUGAAAAGCACACUUGUUCAGUGUGAGCUGAAACAAGAAGGCAGAGCAUCGUGUGCUGGACUUCAGCCACACACGUGUGCACAGGAGGACUCAAAAUUUUCAGUGCUCUGCACAUGACUGAAAAGGACCGUGAAAGCGAGGUUGAGUCUUCAUUGGGAGUUAAAAUAAAUUUGAUGGAGUAGGCAAACCCGC
rnacentral:lncRNA from 1 species